AUAAUCAUGAGCAUUGCCAAAUGCAUCAGAACUCAACCGAUUUCGGGCUACAAAAAAUGUCGAAAUUACACGGAAAAGUAGGAAGUUAAUGAUGGAUGGAUUACCUUAAAUAUCAGAUAACGUCAACGAAGCAAGCGCAUUUUCGUAAUAACAUGUAUAUCCUUUGACUGUACAAUGACAAAUAGUAAAGGAGGUUGCAAAACAGAACGUAUACGUGUGCCUGAAGAUCAUGACGUCAUCCAGGUGUGCGUAGUUCUAAAAAUAAAGAACAUGUGGCAGACGAAAAUAGACCUGUAGCGGUUUGCGUUCUAUGUCAUAAUGGUAUGCGUAGGUCACGAGAAACUGGAUUGUUUCUCCCAUGUGCUCAUCGUGUUUUAUUCACACUCGUGUCGAUUAAUAAGGAAAACAUGCUUCAAUUGUCACGUGAUAUAUAACACAUACACGUUUCGUUUCGCAAGC
rnacentral:sRNA from 1 species